rnacentral:lncRNA from 1 species
UCCCAGGGUGGUAUCCAAGUGCUCAGGUGAUGAUAUAAGUGACAAAGUUAUAUUGCAUCAGUUUUGUACAAGGCAGCUGUCUCCCAUGUGUGAGAGGAACAGAGCAAAUGAAUGAGAAUGGGGGCUUAUUGGUAUGAGGACCACAUGCACUGGCUUUUCCAGGAUAGCCCUGGUAUCUUUUAAAAUCAUAAAAUACAUUUGAAAGGCUUUUGAUAUAUGAAUUCAGAAAUCCACAAUAAUUGUUAUUUCUACGAAUGAAACUAUUGGCUCAAAAUUCCUGCCGUGAGUUUACUGGGGUGCUUCAUAGAACUGUUCCUCUGGUGGUGAACUCCUUUUCCUUCCACUGCUCCAGCUGUUAUCAAGGCUCUUAAUAAUGUGCUAUGUAAUUUCAGAGUUAACUGCUUUGUUAUCUCGCUUGUUCUAUUUAAAAGAUAGUGUUUAGAAAAUUGUAGUGAUUUUCACUCAUUAUCUUUAAAAAGCAUACUUUGAAGAGUAGUAAACUUGAAUUCCUGAAUUUAAAGGUUCUUGCAACUUGAGGCCCUACUUUCUUUAUUAUAUGAGCCAUUUUUAUAGGUUUCUGAGAAUCCAGCUUCCCUAAAGCAUGGUUUUUAAAAUUGCAUUUAAAAAUGAGUUUUUUCAAGUGUUUCACAUCUGCAUAAUUCUCCUGAAUUAUAGCAAUUGCAGGUGGUAAAUCUUUGUACUCACUGAGAACACAGCUGGUUUCCAAGUCAGAUGUUAAAAAUCUCUGAUUGGAAUUCCUAGAACGUAUUUCAUUGCUGGAUUGCCAUUUGAAUUACAGAGUGAAAAACUCAGCUGUAAACUUCUCUCAUUCUUUGUUUGAUUUUGGCAACAGCACUCUCAAGGAGCUUAAGUAUUCAGCAGCUUCCUCUUUUGAGGCACUGGCACAAAACGAACUCAAGUUAUUCUGACCCAGGCCAUUCCCCGUGACCUUUAUAAAUGAUGUUAUGGGUUUUGUAUUUCUAAGGAGCUAAGUCAGCAUUUACAAAGGCCUUGAUAGAUAUAACUCAGUCUGCCAGACAAGACCUGGGGCCACUCUGGCCCAGGGUAAUUAUACCCCUUCUCAACAUAGAUCUAUCCCAGGCCAGACUUGAACUACUCUCUGGAGGGAUGAAGCAGGACAGUAUUUUCCAGUCUGCCUUUACCUUAAUGUGAGGCCACUUUUUCAAGUUCCUAAUCCCAAACAGUUUUUCUUGAAACUAAAACAUCAUCUCUUCAUGCAGCUGAUCAAAAAACAACUGUGUAAGAUAUAUGUGCUGUUGCUGCUGCUGCUAAGUCACUUCAAUUGUGUCCGACUCUGUGCGACCCCA